AAAAGCGGCGUAAAACCAAAACUCAGUCAGUCAGUCAGUCUGUCGUAAGACAUUAUUACCCUGGUGAGUUUAUCACUAUUCAUUUAGGUCAAAAUAAUCCAUAAAUGAUUUAUAUACUGGUAAUUCAAAUAUGGCCUUUUGAAAAAAAUAUUCAUCAUUCAGUAGUGUUCGUGAUAUUUAUUUUUAAAUAAUACGUUAAAAUUCAGUAAUUAGUUGACUGGAAAUACAACAGUCAGUUGUAAAGUUUGGUUGAGGAAGGAUGUUGAAUAUGAGCACAAAUAAGUUUAACUUCAAAUAGUAAUCUCUUGCAAGUAUGUUCAGUAGGGUGAAAUGUUAAAUGAAAAACGUCCUGAAAACAAACGAUCUCUGGAUUAUUUCAGUAUUGACAACUAUAUAUAUGACUGUUGAAGAGUUACUUCCCUUCCAUUUUGGGAUUUCCGUAUUACUGAAAGAAGGGAAAACUAUAUGCUUAAACUGGUAAUAUUAUAGUUAUUGAAUUAAUAAGCCAGAUAAAUCAAGUAUAUGUAAUAAAGAAAUAUAUAUGUACAUAUUUGCAAAAUUGAAUGCAUUUGUUUGAUAUGAUAUAAAGAGCAACACUGUGAUAGAAAAUGAUUGAAAGUGGUGUGUCUUCAGUUAUCUUGGCACAAGAGAGUCUUAUAAAACCCUUGUAUAUAUCUGUGUGGGGGACAAUGUUGAGCUAGGCUCCAAGGGCCAUAUCAGCGUAUAUAUGGAUAAAAAUAUGCACGAACGGUAUGAAAUAAUUUUGAAAGUAGCAAUUGUGUACGGUCUUACAAUCAUUUCGUAUUUAUCUGACAAAGUAUUGUUUUAACUUUUAUUGUUCAUUGACGUGUUUACACAAGAGAGCAAGUGCAUAUAUGAAGCGAAACACAAGAUUACUGAUACUCCAUUAAAUUCCUUCAGUACUCUAAAUGAACUCUUAAGGUUUUAUCUGUAUUGAAAAAUAAGGAGUUCAGUACUCGUUACGUUGAAAAAUUAUCUGGAGCCCUGAUAUGUUAAUAUAAACUUCAUAAAAAAAAGUUUACAAACCCUUCAAAUUAGUGAAUGUUCCAUGAUAUCUCUAUUUUUCUUUUGAGUGGUAUGUAUGUUAAAACUUAAUAUUGUCCAAGUGAUUGUUUCCUUGUGAAAGUCUAAAAAAUUAUGAAUAUUAAUAAAUCAUGAAAAAUGUGUUUGUUUUAUCUUAUUUAGUCGUGUAAGAUCUCAGGCUUCAUACCGUAUUAAACUGAUGCUCUCAUGUGUGUGGUGUUUCAGCUCAUGUUAUAUUUCAGCUGACAAGAGGUUGAUUUAAGGUCUGUCAACAUAUUCAAAUACGUCAUUAAUAAAGGGAUAAUUUGGCAGGUGUGGACACAUACACAUAUCCCACAAGGAUGGAUAU